rnacentral:rRNA from 1 species
UGGGGAAUAUUGGACAAUGGGGGCAACCCUGAUCCAGCAAUGCCGCGUGUGCGAAGAAGGUCUUCGGAUUGUAAAGCACUUUCGACGGGGACGAUGAUGACGGUACCCGUAGAAGAAGCCCCGGCUAACUUCGUGCCAGCAGCCGCGGUAAUACGAAGGGGGCUAGCGUUGCUCGGAAUGACUGGGCGUAAAGGGCGUGUAGGCGGUUUACACAGUCAGAUGUGAAAUCCCCGGGCUUAACCUGGGAGCUGCAUUUGAUACGUGUAGACUAGAGUGUGAGAGAGGGUUGUGGAAUUCCCAGUGUAGAGGUGAAAUUCGUAGAUAUUGGGAAGAACACCGGUGGCGAAGGCGGCAACCUGGCUCAUGACUGACGCUGAGGCGCGAAAGCGUGGGGAGCAAACAGGAUUAGAUACCCUGGUAGUCCACGCUGUAAACGAUGUGUGCUAGAUGUUGGGUAACUUUGUUAUUCAGUGUCGCAGUUAACGCGUUAAGCACACCGCCUGGGGAGUACGGGC